UACGUAGGGUGCAAGCGUUAUCCGGAAUUAUUGGGCGUAAAGAGCUCGUAGGCGGUUUGUCGCGUCUGCUGUGAAAACUGGAGGCUCAACCUCCAGCCUGCAGUGGGUACGGGCAGACUAGAGUGUGGUAGGGGAGACUGGAAUUCCUGGUGUAGCGGUGAAAUGCGCAGAUAUCAGGAGGAACACCGAGUGGCGAAGGCGGUUCUCUGGGC
rnacentral:rRNA from 1 species